rfam:Triticum urartu cultivar G1812 contig685380, whole genome shotgun sequence.
GAAAUACUCCCUCCGUCCCAAAAUUCUUGUCCUAGAUUUGUCUAAAUACGAAUGUAUCAAGUCACGUUAGGAAUUGGAUACAUCCGUAUCUAGACUAAUCCAAGACAAGAAUUUUGGGAUGGAGGGAGUAUAAG